rnacentral:lncRNA from 1 species
GACCGGACUCGAAUAAGACGGUCUUAUACGAGGCCUCAAGAUGGCGUUGGGUUCCAUAGACGUCAAACAAGACGGUCUUGAGACGCGGCAAAUAAGACGGUCUUCAUCAAGUCGGUCUUAUUCGAAGCGUGCUUACAAGGUUGCAUAGUCCAGUCUUAUUUGAAAUAAGCAUGGUCUUGAGCACGCAACGUUUCAUAGUCAAUUAACGCAGUCUUAUUUACGUAUCUUGAUCAAGUCGAGUUCGGACUGCACUUAAGCAAAUGCUUGUUGCCUAAAUAUUACUCAAUUGUUCUGAUGCGUACGAAAUUGAUAAUUACGAAUUGUUUGGAAAAUAUUAUAUUCGAACAAUAUAAAUUAACAGGAAUAGAUUGUGAAGGAAUGUUUGGGAAAGUGCAGCUGGGACGGGAUUAUUUACUGUAACAGGGUAGCAACGGAAACUUGCAAUUGAAGUAGAGAGAUUGGAAGAGCGUCAUAAAUAAUUAACUAUUAAUCCCAUGUACUCAUGUACACUAUGAUGGUCAGCUUAAAUACAUUUGUUGCUAGUUGU